GUGACACAUCCUACAGGGUCACCAUGUCCUCCUCUCAACAAGGCGCCACGUGGCUACUACUGUCUGCGUUACAAACGAGAAAGCGGAAGCUCCAAGGGGUCAAGAAUCUUGCCAGAGGCCACAGAAAAGACUUGGAUUCAAAUUCUAAUGAAGAGAACACGGAAGUUCUCCCCUGCUCGCUCUCAUACCAGUUACAUGGCUUCUUUGGGGGGACACUCAUUUCUCACAGUUUCGUCUACAUUCCUCUGGAGAUUUCUUUUUUGCACGUCAAAAUAAUUAAGCAUGUAUGUUCCCCACUGUCAUUUCCCUCGAGUGGUUGUUUAAUAGACAGACACAAAUAAAUCAACUGUUUUUUCAUUCA